rnacentral:rRNA from 1 species
CCUACGGGUGGCAGCAGUGGGGAAUAUUGCACAAUGGGGGGAACCCUGAUGCAGCGACGCCGCGUGAGUGAAGAAGUAUUUCGGUAUGGAAAGCUCUAUCAGCAGGGAAGAAAAUGACGGUACCUGACUCAGAAGCCCCGGCUAACUACGUGCCAGCAGCCGCGGUAAUACGUAGGGGGCAAGCGUUAUCCGGAUUUACUGGGUGUAAAGGGAGCGUAGACGGCAGCACAAGUCCGGAGGGAAAUCCCGGGGCUUAACCCCGGAACUGCCGUGGAAACUGUGGGGCUGGAGUGCGGGAGGGGUAAGCGGAAUUCCUGGUGUAGCGGUGAAAUGCGUAGAUAUUAGGAGGAACACCGAUGGCGAAGGCGGCUUACUGGAGUGUAACUGACGUUGAGGCUCGAAAGCGUGGGGAGCGAACAGGAUUAGAUACCCCGGUAGUC